ACAACAACAUCAAGUCAAUUUCAAGACAUACUUUCCGGGGACUAAAGUCAUUAAUUCACUUCUCUGCUCUAGGCCCUAGGAUGAGCAGGGAACAAAGGAGACAAAAAUGCCUGUCCUUAGACUGAGCCUGAUUUCCAGUGUGUCCACGCGGUUGUCACUCUGCCUCCACCAGGCCCCCUUCUCUCCUGUUGCUUGUUUUGUAGCAAAGAGAAGCUAAUAGCCAGAUAUAUUUUACAAAAUCAUACCUUUCAAGGCUUUGUAUA
rnacentral:sRNA from 1 species